rnacentral:rRNA from 1 species
AGAACGAAAGUUAGGGGAUCGAAGACGAUCAGAUACCGUCGUAGUCUUAACCAUAAACGAUGCCGACCAGCGAUUAGGAGACGUUGAAUACAAAACACCGCCGUUAAUCCUUUCGGGGGUUAAUGGUUGGUGAAUGACUCCCCUAGCAGCUUGUGAGAA